rnacentral:misc_RNA from 1 species
UCCACUCCAUAAAAUGAUACACUCUCGGCAAAGCCCCUCCCCCUCCCUUCGAGGCGCGUCUCCCCUUAUGUGUGCGUGAGCGCCUUGUGCGUGCACGGGUGCGCGUGUACGCACAAGUGCAUCCACCACAUCUCUCUCUCUCUGCUCUUUUUUUUUCAUCGGUAGUUUGUGUGUGGCUGUGUGUGUGGGUGUUGGUGCAUGCCAUCGCGCGCGCUGUGCGUGUACAGGUACGUGCGAGCAAGCAUAAAGGGGUGGGACGUGGCCAUGUUCAUCGCGGCACAGCCGGUGGCCGGGCAUCUCUCUUCCUUCCCCCAGUCAGCUCAUACACGCACGGUUGGAAGCGCAGCCACGCAAUGCAGAUGCGCGUACGUGUUCAGGCUUUAUACCCUUAUCCCCUUCUCGCAACAGGAACAGGCAAAGAAGGCGCCCCUCGCGACGGCGAUCCAAAGCAGGGGCGACAUAACAUGAGAGCAAGCAGCGGACAAGUGCACUCCGACGCGGGUGGAGUUUGACCCACCCCACCCCCCGCCCCACCACCUUUGUUCGCUCUCGCUGCCGCCACCGCCACCAUCAGCACAGAUGAGUGCUGCUAGCAGGGAGGCGAUACUGGGGGAAGGGCGGGGGUGGGAGCAGUGGAGGAAAACGAAAGAAAAAAAAAGGGACAAAGAGUGGCAGCGGGGUACGGGAGAACCGGCACCGGCUCACGCCCAGAAGGUUCCGUCACGCUGUGCCUCGGUGUGCGAUUUGGGCGUGGUAGAUGCAUUGCCUACUCGAGCCGCUUUUCUUCUUGUCUCCUCUCUUUGUGCGGUCACGUUGUUGCCCGCUAG